GCGGAAUAUUAGUUUUCAACACUGUGCGUCAGAUAGCGCACGAGUUUGUUUAUAGAAACUGCAAAUGAUGUUUUGUUAGGUAUCGCAUUUACUUAGGAACUGACAUUGCCUCAUCGUGAGUUUGAUUCUUAAAACAUGGAGAAACUUGAGAAACCACAGAUAAUUUGUCACAUUGAAAAAUCAGUAAAUUAUUCAUUGUUUGACACCAAAUGGAUUCCUUGCAGUGCAAAGUUUGUGGUUAUGGGUUCACGACCUCGUGGUAGCGGUAUUAUACAAAUUUAUGAAUUGUCCAGUGGCGAAUUAAAACUCAUUAAAGAUAUCGAAAGGUCACAGCCUGUAAAAUGUGGCACUUUCAAAGCUUCCAGUUUAAAAGACAGAUACUUGGCCACUGGAGACUUUCAGGGUAAACUUAACAUCUAUAACUUAGAAGAUCCUUCAAUACCAAUCUAUAGAGCUAAUGCUCAUAGCGAGAUCAUAAACAGUAUUGAUGGUGUGGCUGGACAAAGCAUUGGAUGCGGUGCACCUGAAUUAGUAACUGGUUCCAGAGAUGGAAGUGUUAAGGUUUGGGAUCCUAGGCAAAAGGGUCGUCCUGUAGCUGUAAUGGAACCCAAAGAAGGUGAAAGUCGUAGAGAUUGUUGGACAGUUACAUUUGGAAACUCGUAUAACUCAGAGGAAAGAGUUGUAGCUGCUGGUUACGACAAUGGUGAUGUAAAAAUGUUUGAUUUGAAAGCAAUGUCUGUCCUAUGGGAAAGUAAUCUCAAAAAUGGAGUUUGCAGUCUUGAGUUUGACAGGAAAGAUAUUCCAUUGAACAAAUUAGUAGCAACCACUUUAGAAUCGAAAUUCUAUGUAUUUGAUUUAAAAACACAGCAUCCCAAAAAAGGAUUCCCUUAUCUCAUUGAAAAAGCACAUGAUUCAACUGUAUGGUUGGUUAGACAUUUACCUCAGAAUCGUGAAAUAUUUGUCACUUGUGGUGGAGCUGGAAGCCUUUGUCUUUGGAAAUACAAUUAUCCAGAGAAAAGAAAAAUAGCAGAUGCAGAUGGCAUAGAUCAAGGUGUAAUUGGGAAUCUAUCUCUCUUACAAAAUACAACUAUUUCAUCUCAACCAGUUAGUUCCUUGGAUUGGAGUCCAGACAAACAAGGACUGGCUGUUUGUUCCGCAUUUGAUCAGUGUAUACGUGUUAUAAUUACUACUAAACUUAAUACUUAUUAAGAAAAUAGGUAAAAUCUAUAUUCCACACAUUUAAAUUAGUCUACAAUAAGAACAUAACAGAUCAUAAAUGUUGCAGAUGGCAAGGAAAACAAAAAUAUUCUUUUCUUGUAAAUAAUAUCAAUCUUGAUAAUUUUAUUUAUCAAAUGAAACUGAAGUUCAUACAAUAAAACAUUGAAAAAAUUAUUUCGAAUUUAAGCACAAUUAUUUGAACAUGGAUAAAACCUAUUUCUAUCAUUGGUUAUCGACCUAUCAAUAAAAAGGAACUUUCAUCUUUCUCCACAAGAUGGAACAACAUUCUCAUCACCGAUACAGUUGUAUAUUUUGCUUCUGCAUCUAGCUAAGUGUUGCACAACUUCGUACAGGCGGCCAGAUAAAAGCGAAUUAUAUGUCAUUGGGCCAAUCUAUUUAGGAUCAGACCCUUAUUAAGUGGCAGCCAUCUUUGCAGCACAAUGUGUUAUGCAAUAUCGAUCCGCCAUGUUGGCUGCCUUCUAGACAAGCCCACGCCAAAUGCACUUAUACAUUGUUCGAGCCAGCUUUAACUAGCUUGCAUUCAGCCAUACAAGGAUAUACUUACUUAACUUAAAAAUAUAUUUUUAUAUAAAAAAUAAAGUAGUCAAGAAUUGCAGGAAUGAAGGAACUUCUUUACUUGGAA
rnacentral:misc_RNA from 1 species